rnacentral:rRNA from 1 species
CCUCACUUGUGGGGGGAUUAGUGGCGAACGGGUGAGUAACACGUGAGUAACCUGCCCUUGACUCUGGGAUAAGCCUGGGAAACCGGGUCUAAUACUGGAUACGACCUUCUGGCGCAUGCCAUGUUGGUGGAAAGCUUUUGUGGUUUUGGAUGGACUCGCGGCCUAUCAGCUUGUUGGUGGGGUAAUGGCCUACCAAGGCGACGACGGGUAGCCGGCCUGAGAGGGUGACCGGCCACACUGGGACUGAGACACGGCCCAGACUCCUACGGGAGGCAGCAGUGGGGAAUAUUGCACAAUGGGCGCAAGCCUGAUGCAGCGACGCCGCGUGAGGGAUGAAGGCCUUCGGGUUGUAAACCUCUUUCAGUAGGGAAGAAGCCGGCCUUCGGGUUGGUGACGGUACCUGCAGAAGAAGCGCCGG